rnacentral:rRNA from 1 species
GACGAACCGUGCGAACGUUGUUCGGAUUCACUGGGCUUAAAGGGCGCGUAGGCGGGUGAUCAAGUCCGGGGUGAAAUCCUCCAGCUUAACUGGAGAAUAGCCCUGGAUACUGGUCGUCUUGAGGGAGGUAGGGGCAUGUGGAACUUCCGGUGGAGCGGUGAAAUGCGUAGAUAUCGGAAGGAACGCCGGUGGCGAAAGCGACGUGCUGGACCUUUUCUGACGCUGAGGCGCGAAAGCCAGGGGAGCAAACGGG